UCUUCUUCUUUAAGAUGUAUGGAUAUAACAGGUUGAUAAGGCGGAAUGCGUUCAUUCGUUGAGCUAAUGGGGUUAAGAUGGCUAUUCUUACGAGAGGUAAAGUCAGUAAUAACGGAAACGUCGUCACAGCGAUCUUUUCGAGGAUAUACAUGAUUUCCUCGGAUGGUAAUUUGGCGGACGGUAGGUAGAUUAAACCCUCGAGGCAGCGGGUGCAGCAGCCUGCUUACCGUAUGCUCCCCAUAUGGCUCGUCCUCCCUCGAAAAAGCGACCCGCGUAGGCUCGAGCGCCUAUAUUCACCCUGCGCUGGCCCACCUUUCUCACUACCCUUUACCUGCGAAUCGUUGUAAUAGGUGCAACCAUAUUUUCACUACCGAUGCACUGGAUUAUGCCAAAUCACGGUGUCAUUCGUGGGACAAGCAGAUCGAGAGAUUCGAUUUAGACGCAUCGACCUAACCUCACACGAUACGUGCGAUAUUUUUACCAGUGGUGUGUGGAAUUGUAUAUAUGAAGCAUGGUGUCAUUCGUGGGAUAGGGAAAUUGGAAGAUGAAAGGAGAAUCGUAUUUUUACUAGUGGUGUAUAGAAUUUGUAUCAAAGCACUAUGGUGGUACUAUGGUGGGAAAGGAAAAUUAGAAGAUAAAAAGAGAAAAGAGAUAAAAAGGUAUAUGAGAUAUAAUCGUAUGUUUACUAGUGAUGUAUCGGAUUGUAUCAUCGUGUUAUUCGUGGGAUAUGAAAAUUAGAAGAUCAAAAGAGAAUAAAGAGAAUUGUAUCGAAGCAUUUGUAUCAUUUGUGGAAUAAAAAAAUCAGUAGAUUCGAUUUAGACGCAUCGAGCGAUCUAACCUCACAGAACACGUGCAAUCGUAUUUUUAGUGAUAUAUCGAAUCGUAUCAAAGUAUAGUGUCAUUUGUGGGAGAUUCGUUUCAAUUAUAUUUCUUACUACUGAUGAUAUCAGAUUGUGUCAAUUAAAUAUUCGAUUUAGAUUCAUUGAAUGAUCUAAAUAGCUGCAAUCAUAUUUUGAUGUAUCGAAUUAUGGCACGAUUCUAUUAAAUUAGAAAGAAAAAAAGAGGAUCGAUUGAGCAUCGAAGUUAAAUCAUCGAUGCAUUAGAUUAUUCCAAGAGAUAUUGGAGAAAAUUCGAUUUGAUUUAAAUGCAACUAUAUUUUUACCGAAUAUUGAUUAUGAAAAAGCAUUUGUGGGACGGAGAAAAGAUCAAACUGAAUGAGGAAAGUAAACUUAAUCUAAUUAUCUAAUUUAUAUAAUAAUAAUAAUAAAUAAAAUAAUAAACAUUAAGUACAAUCGACUAAACUUGAUUAAAUUUUCAGAAGAUACGAGUGAUGACAAUAUACGAAACGACUUCCGUUUAAACGGAUACUAUUAUGGGAAACACUUGCUCGAAAUCCUUCAAACCUGUAUAUAAAUUAUAAUCGUAAAUCGAUUUGAGCCAACACAGGAAAUUUAAGCAGUUCUCACGAAUUAACGAGUAAUUCACGAUAACGUCUGACGAGAGACUAUCCGAAAACAGCGCCGCCCACAUCCGGAGGAGGUACUGUUGGUGAUGGUGGUGCGAUCAGGUUGAUCAGUGAUCGGUGUAACGUGUCGGUUUUACUUAUAUACUUAACUCGCAUUUAUCCAAAGCGAUCUCGAACCUUUUAUUGGGUAUUUAUAAAUUCUACGAAAUUGUUUCGCUUCAUAAUUUCGGAUAAACAUUGAAGAGCGUGUGAAAUGGGACAAACAAUCAGAUGUGCUGGUAGUCGUAUAAAUUUUUAAAGCUUAUUUUUUAUGUUGCAGACAAACUGCGAAUGAAUUCGAAAUUUGAAUCGCGAAUUCAUGACUUUUUCCCCCUUUUACUUUCUAUUCUAUACGAAUUAAAAUAUAAAGCGGAUAAUUUUCUGCGUCUAAACGUUUUUUUCUUCGAUUUCAGAAAAAAUCUACGAAACGAAAACCAGUUAAUAGAAUUAUAUUAAUUGCGAAGAAUUAACUCUGCCUUUCUAAGGCAAAAGAAGAAAAAUUGAAACCACAAUUUUAACCUCGACUCUAUCCAUUACACCGUUCCCUUUCGAAUGUUGUUUCUACGCGACAAAUAGCUGGAGAUGCGAAUCGAUGGAGAAAAAAAAAAAAGAAACAAAACGAACAAGGCUAAAAGAAAACCUGUGAACUGUCAUUGGAAGUUUUUGUUCGAAAAAAUAAAUAUCGUCUGAUCCAAUCUUUGGAUAAUACAUGCGCGUUAAAAUAGGUGCGAAGAGCCAUCUUUGAGACAGCAUAGCUGCGAAGAUCGGCGAACGAUUAUAAGAUGCUAUUGCCUUUCUCUUUUUGUCUUUCUUUUUUUUUCCUCUCUGUCUACCGAACUACGCACUUUUCUACUUUUUCCCCUCUUUCUCUCGCGUGGGAAUAGGCACGAUCAGAUCGUGGACAGCAUCGGAUCUCGAAUCUCGAGAAAAAAAGAGAAAGGAAAAAAAGUUUAAGGAAAUUUAGUGGCGUCAGACUCUUGCUAGUGAGAUAUUCCAGUUAGCUGAAACAUCGAACCAAAAUCCACCGCCUUUCUAUGGGAAUGCAUAGUCAAUGAGAGGAUGAUGGUUCGCGAUAAGAUUCGACGAAUUUCGCUUUAAUAAACUUCUACGCGAUUGAGGAAAAACGAGGCUCGAAAUUUGUCGCUUUCUAAACGAUUGUUAUCGAAAUUUACAUGGCAUUAAUAACAAAUGUGAAUUUAUUUUUAAUACUAUCAAUUAAAUGUCACAAAUAUAUCGGAGCUAGUAUUUUGAUAAAUUUAUUGAGAAUAAAAAAUUGUGAAUUAUCUUUACAAAUUUUCAAAGAUUUUAUAAUAAAAUUACAUUACGUAAAUCUUUCAUCUUUCCUCGUGAUAUUUUUCUCUCUUAAGAAGAGAGCUUUUUAAACGCUUAAUUUUCAAUUGUUUUCCAUUCAGUAUUUACCUUAAUAGCGGUGCCAAGAUUGGGUACCUGUCACUAAUUCCAAAUAAUUUUCGAACAACGCUUACAGGUGUCAACAUUCUCGAUGAGACAUCCGACACCGAUGUUCUUCUUGUUCUAAAUAGACCGGGUGGUCCUCUCACCUCUUCUGAUCCUAUCUUUGGACGAUCUCGGAUCAGCUUCAACGACGAGCUUACUGCUACUUACUAAAGCGGUACAUGGAUGAGAAGCGGAUGACCGGGGUGAAAUCGUCUGGGUGUAACAUGGAAGAAUUACAAGAUGCCUCGCAAGCAUCCCUCGAAUAUUUGGGAUCGUUGUGUGCACUUUUUGCAAAAAAAACAAGAGUAUCAAUAUCAUCAAUCAUUCGAUGUUCUAACAGAUUAGAAAAAUAUUAUACCUCGUUAUUUACUACUUUUAGUAUUAAUUUAGUCGUUUUCUUGUUUCGAACGAUACUUUAUCCACCUACACGAUGUGAUAAAACACAGCGCGAAACUGUUGCCAAAAAUCGUUAAACCUCUUAAAGUGAUAUUGGAUCGAUGCUAAUAGCAUUAUUGGUUGAGAACCGUUGUUCAAGCGUAUAAUAUAUUUUUUCACAAAAUUCGUCCAAAAUUUCGAGACGAAGUCUGUACACACGCGUUGAGAUACAUUAAGAGGGACGCUUAAUUUUUACCCGAUCACCGUCCAUUCUCGUUUUCGAAUUAUUCUACCGCUUACCAGAAUGUUUUUACAGCCUUUUACAUUCUCAUCGGUGGUGCAGCUAUAACCGUUUCGAGGGUCGUAUUGUAAAGUCAUGCCGGUCUCGAGCGGUCACGUGCGCAUUGAGCCAUCAAGACAAAUAUAUUGAGGAAGAGGCGGUACGCUUAUUACAGGCGAACCUCUUUCUCGGCCACAAAUCAAAUAACAUUUUCGUGUUGGUAACAACCGAGACAUGACGUUUUUUGUAAAUCGCAUGCACACGAGAUGAUGUUUUCUAUAAUUGUACGUGCGAUUCGGAGAGAGAAUACGAAUUCUAAGUAGAAGUAAGAAAGGAACUCAUUUGGACAGAGAUAACAAACCCUCUCUUGGGUCUGAGAGUCGCAUCGAUUCAAAAUUUUCAAAUUAAUUAAUUAAACUGAUCGAAGAACAAACUUUGUAUUAAUUUUUUUUAAAAUUUGUAAAUAAAUUGUAAUCAAUCUGUUAAUGUUAUGCUAUAAUUACUUUCUCGUCCAGAUUAAUUUUUGUACAAAUUUUCAAAUCCGAACGAAACAAAU